rnacentral:rRNA from 1 species
UACGGAGGUGCGAGCGUUGUCCGGAAUCAUUGGGCGUAAAGGGCGCGUAGGUGGCGGGACAAGCGUGCGGUGAAAGCCUGGGGCUCAACCCCGGGUCGGCCGUGCGAACUGUUUUGCUUGAGCACUGUAGAGGCAGGCGGAAUUCCGGGUGUAGCGGUGAAAUGCGUAGAUAUCAAGAGGAACACCUGAGGUGAAGACGGGUUGCUGGGCCGACACUGACGCUGAUGCGCGAAAGCCAGGGGAGCAAACAGG